rnacentral:rRNA from 1 species
GAUGAACGCUGGCGGCGUGCCUAAUACAUGCAAGUCGAGCGAACAGAUAAGGAGCUUGCUCCUUUGACGUUAGCGGCGGACGGGUGAGUAACACGUGGGUAACCUACCUAUAAGACUGGGAUAACUUCGGGAAACCGGAGCUAAUACCGGAUAAUAUUUCGAACCGCAUGGUUCGAUAGUGAAAGAUGGUUUUGCUAUCACUUAUAGAUGGACCCGCGCCGUAUUAGCUAGUUGGUAAGGUAACGGCUUACCAAGGCGACGAUACGUAGCCGACCUGAGAGGGUGAUCAGCCACACUGGAACUGAGACACGGUCCAGACUCGUACGGGAGGCAGCAGUGGGGAAUAUUGGAAAAUGGGCGAAAGCCUGAGGGAGAAAGGCCGCGUGAGUGAAGAAGGUCUUCGGAUUGUAAAGCAUUUUAAGGUGGGAGGAAGGGCAGUAAGGUAAUACCUUGCUGUUUUGACGGUACCAAAAGAAAAAGCACCGGCUAACUUCGUG